GCUUUAGUAUUUAACAAAAAAUAUUUUAAUACAUGACCAUUAUAUAUUAUAUAUGUGUUAAAUCAAAAUAAAGUUUGAAUUGACAGGUGCUACUUUACGUUAUUUUAUAUUAUUAAAGGGUCCACUAUUUUGAUUGCAAACAAUCUAGAGCUUGCAUUGAGAAAAUGAUUAGUUUUGCCUGCUUUAUAAUAUAGUAUAAUAAUAUAAAAUGUAAAUAUGAUAUAUUGGAAGAAACUGAUUGCUCAUAAAAUUUUCAUAUUAUUUCAAUUGACGUGGUCUUUUCUUUCCAUUACUGACUCUUAAAACAAUUGGAAUUACUAGUCUAUUUAUAAAUGUUUGGUUGUACAACAAAAUCAAAAUAUUUUAUUUUAUUUUUGUUCAGUUGGCUAAUUCUGAAUCAUUACCAUGGAGUAGAAAAUUUUCAUGAUUUAUUUGAGUUCCUUUCAUUUUGGAAUAAAAAGGGAGUCCAUUAACUUUAUUAUUAUUUUAAGGGUGAUUUUUAAAUACAGUUCAUGUGUCCUUUAUGCUAUCUAGGAGCAUGAUAGAUUUUCUUUUUUCUUUUUUUUAUAUAUAUAUAUUCGUUGUUCAUAUGUAUUGUUGCCAGUCAUCAUUUUAAUUUGUUGUUUGAAAAAAAAUUUAAUGUGACUAAAUUUGAGGAUUCGGCUUCAGUGGUUAUUACCCUUUAUUGGCAUAUCUACUCAUGAAAUAAGUUGGUUAGUAUUUGUUUGCUACGGAUUCUAGAUGUUCAAAUAGUAAUAUAAACAAUUACCACUUUAUCUUUAGUAUGAUAGGUCUUCAUUGCCUUGGGAGUUGGGUAUCUUUUAUCUAGAUCUAUGUCAUUUCAAUUCGAUAUGGUUAUUUGCUAUAUUUUUAUUUAAUGUCGGCUAUGAUUUGUUUUAAGUAUAUUUUUUUUUAUUGUUUAUUAAUGUCGGCUAUGAUUUGUUUUAAGUAUAUUUUUUUUUUAUUGUUUAUUAAUCCUUACCUUCUUAUUUUUUGUUGCAUGUGAAAUCUGCCUGAGUUUAUCAUGAACUCCCAUAUUUUUGCAUUUUCGAAAGAGUCAUAAAGGCUCAAACCAUCUUUAUCGAGUCAGCCAGCUAUAAAAGUCGACAAACAAGUCUCGAAGAUGGAAGGAUGUUAAAGCGGAGGAGAAUUGAAAAGAUUGGGCCAAAGGCCCACUCUUUAUACAAAAAUUGUAUUUUGUUAUUUUUGGGCCUAAGCCCACUUAU
rnacentral:lncRNA from 1 species